UGAGAUUUAUUAAAAAAUUUUUCCUCUCUCUCUCUCUCUCUCUUUCUCUCCACGAAAGAUCUCAUCUCAUUCUCUUCUUUUUUUUUUCGAUUCACUCUUCAACUUCUUCAUCUUCUCCUUCACUCUCAUAUCUCUAAUUUCUCCCAUCUCUGUCCCACCACGUCUCCUCCUCGUCUCACCACCGUCACGUCUCCUCCUCUUUCACCACCACCGAGUCUACUCCUCUGCUCAUCACCGAACACGCCGGAGCUGAGCAUGACGACCUGGGCAGAACAAAACGACGCGGAAAUAAGUUGCAGACUUGUGCUCGGGGUUGAAUCCGCGAGGAAGAAGGAGUCAGAGUUCUCGAGUAGGUUUGCAGCGGCUCACGGUGGUGACAUAUUGACGUAGCUGGGAGUGGUGAAGGAAGAUGAAGAAGAUUCAGGUGAUGAAGGAAGAUGAAGAGGCUUAAUGGACGUGGUUGAAAGCGGCUGUGAGUUAGAAAGAUAGGGAUUCUUUUUUUUUGUAGGUUUAGUUCUUUUGUUUGGUUUAGUGUAAACAGAGUUAGUGGUUUGACUUUAUUUUUGGUUUCUGGUUUAGUUUUGUAAACCUGAAUAUAUUUGUAAACCAGUUUUAGUUAUAAAUAAAAUUUAUUAUAUUUUAAAUUAUAAAACAA